rnacentral:rRNA from 1 species
GACGAACGCUGGCGGCGUGCCUAAUACAUGCAAGUUGAGCGCUGAAGGUUGGUACUUGUACCAACUGGAUGAGCAGCGAACGGGUGAGUAGCGCGUGGGGAAUCUGCCUUUGAGCGGGGGACAACAUUUGGAAACGAAUGCUAAUACCGCAUAAAAACUUUAAACACAAGUUUUAAGUUUGAAAGAUGCAAUUGCAUCACUCAAAGAUGAUCCCGCGUUGUAUUAGCUAGUUGGUGAGGUAAAGGCUCACCAAGGCGAUGAUACAUAGCCGACCUGAGAGGGUGAUCGGCCACAUUGGGACUGAGACACGGCCCAAACUCCUACGGGAGGCAGCAGUAGGGAAUCUUCGGCAAUAGACGAAAGUCUGACCGAGCAACGCCGCGUGAGUGAAGAAGGUUUUCGGAUCGUAAAACUCUGUUGGUAGAGAAGAACGUUGGUGAGAGUGGAAAGCUCAUCAAGUGACGGUAACUACCCAGAAAGGGACGGCUAACUACGUG